GUUAACCUAAAAGGAGCCACUUGAAUUAGUCUGUAAUGAGGAAGGAAGUGACAGUAGCAUCAAUUUAAAUACCCGGAUGUAGCGGCUGACAGACUGCGCUCAGGCUGAGAGCUGCGCCUGUACUGAAGUGUCCCAUUAAGUUUGCUGAAGUGGACUUAUCUCCUACCAUCCCCUCUUGUAUCUCACUCAUUCCUGGAUCCAGACAGGGCUGAGUGCCACACUCCUGCUGCCCUCCUCACACCAGAGAGGCCUCUCUCUUCUGGACUUCAGUCCUGCACUCAGACCUCCUCAACCAAACAUUGUCCUUACAGUUGGCUGCACGAUGCUGAAGGAAUCGUCAUCAGACCUCCAGGGACCUUAUAAAUGAGUGGACACUGUGGAGAAAUGUGACUUGUUCAGCAAGGAUAGUUUGAAAGCGACUUGUUGAAGCUGGUCUGAAGUCACACAGGGCAGGAAGAAGCCCUUCAUCAAGGAAAGGCAGAGGAAAACCUGGUUGCUCUUUGCUGGGAUCACAAGGAUUGGACUGUUGAUGAUUGGGCUAAGGUUCUCUUCAGUGAUGAAUCCAAUUUUCAGUUGAUGCCCACUCCAGCCUGGAGAAGCUACAAACCAGAAUGUCUGCCCACACAGUAAAACAUGGGGGUGCAUCAGUGACCAUCUGGGGUUGUUUCAGUCUGGGUGGAACAGGGCAAAUGAACCAGGUCAUGCACAGGGCUACUCUUGAAAACAGUCUUCCAUCAGCUGAAAACUCUUUCCUGCCUCCAAUGACUGGAUUUUCCAGCAAGACAAUGCCCCUUGCCACACAGCAAGGUCAGUUAAAGCCUGGAUGGAUAACCAGAACAUUGGAACCAUGCCUUGGCUGCUCAAUCACCAGAUCUAAAUCCAAUUUAACCUGUGGAAAAUCAUCAAACACAUAAUGGAGAACCACAAGCCCGAAAACAAAGCAAAUUUGUUAGAAUUUGUGCAACAGGAAUGGGCUGCUGUGACAGCAGAACAAUGUCAGAAGCUGGUGGAGAGCAGCCAAGAUGCAUGGCUGCAGUCAUCAGAAACAAUGGUUAUGAAUCAGUACUAACUCUUGUGUGUAUCAUGAGACUAAAACAGACAGAAAAGAAAACAUGGACCUGAAAGCAUUGUUUUUGGCAGUACAAUGCCACAGCUAUUGAUGUAAGAACUUAAGUGAUUUUGGUUAUUUUCAAGAAAAGCAUGGAAAAUGUCUAGAUAUCAGCUCUUAAAUGAAACUCUUAUGAGCUAUUAUUGUUGUUAUCAUUAUACUGGUCCAAACCAGUUUACCUUUAGUUGUACCAGGCAUUAAAAUGAACAAGAAAUUGAAGAAAACAAAGGCGGUCUAAUAAUUUUUUCCCUGACUGUAUGUAUAACAUAAUAUUGUCAGGUGGUGAAAGGGUGGCGCUGCUUAGAGACAAAACUCUGAACAUGAUGUCCCCCAAAGCAGACUAGUUGUGCAUCGUAAGCUGCCAUGAUGACCGAGCAGGUAGAGAGUCUGUUCAUGACACUGCAAACCCUGGCGUUAGACUCAACAUACCUCACUAACCCAUUAGUCACACUUUAAAGUACACUCUACAAGAGUAGGACUCUUUUCAGGCAUACCCAGAUUUUUUUAAACUCCUUUACUUUCCCUUUCCUAGUCUAAACUAUAUGGUUUGAGAGUAUGUUGCAGCAGCUGGAUAGUCACAUCCAGGGCGGUUAUACUGUCAGAAUCCCCCCCCCGCGCCCCGCCCCAAGUAAUAGAGAACACAAACGUCCCUUCAGCAUCACCUUUUCAUACAGCUCCAUCAGAUAACAUGUCCCCCGUGCUGUUGUUGUUGUUGUAUGCGGUUUGGCUCUCCGUGUGGUAAACAGCUGUUGGUGUGUGCUGUAGUGUCUGAUAAACACAUUAGACUGUUGUUUAUUCUCCUCUAAACUAUCCUAGUUCAAACCCUUGACAGAUAGGGAGCUCCAAGCCAAUAAUGAAGAUGUGAGCCUCACUAUAGUACUGUGUGAGUGAAAAUAAAGUCAUGCUACCCACACGUAUUGAAAGAAAAGAUGCACAAAAUGCCUUCAAGUUCUCCACUCAUCUUUACCAUCAUCAAAUCAUCUAUCAUGAAGACCCUAUAAAUAGAUUUUUUUGGAGCUAGGCUUAAUGUUUACAGAUAGUAUGAAGAGAGGAGCUGGUUGGUCAGUAAAUUUGCGUGUCUCUAUGGGAAAUGGGGCAUUGCAACAUACGAGUGAUUUGUACUGGAAUACUGUUUGCAUGCACAUAGCAGACAAUGAUGUUUGCACGCUUAGUUUAUGAUAUAUAUACAUACAUGUGUUCCAUGUGUGAUCUAUAACGUACACCAACUACAGUGAGGGUUAUGCUGCUGCCUGCCUCCACGCUGUCUGCGUGAGAAGGGCAGUUUUUAAUUCUGAGGUGGAUCAAAACACUGUCAGUAGUUGGCUAUAGUUACUGGAGGAAGAUGUGGACAUAGUAGGACUUUGCCAAAACAAGGUGUGGUCUUCCCCUGCCUCUCUGGCUGACUGGGUAUAAUUAAAAUACCACAAUUCUUUCAGGCAUUGGGACAUCAGUGCAAUACAACAGUUUCCCUUUCCCUCCUGGGCCUUUAUCAGUACUGACGCAGAUGCUUCUGCUGCAUUUUUGUGUGUUCACAUGAUUAUGUUGUCUGGUCUAUGUCUUCUUUACAUGUUUCUCUGCAUUAUUUACAAUCUAAUUUGUUGUAUAUUUUUUAUUUGAAGUAUCUAGUUGAACCGUAGGUCAGAUUUUCAUAAUGAAAGGUCAAAUCUCCAUUUACCGAAGUCGAGAUAUUAACAGUAACAGUAAACUAUCUCAUCUGUUGAUGUGGAAUAGAAUAAAAUUCUAGAUAUAUGAGAUCAGGCUCCAGAUUUAGGUCUUGCAGCAUUAGUAUUAAUGCUGGGUUAAGCUCGUGUGAAAGCUCUAUUAUACUUGAUUGAAUUAUCUCCUCACACAGAGUGGGAGGCCAGAGCAUAAACAAGUCACUCUGAGCAGAGAGAGGGACGGAUGAGUUUCCUUCUCUUGUUUUUGUUACACCAGCACUUUAUUGUAAAGCUGAAAUGAUAUUGUUCCCGUGGCAGCUCUGUGUAAAUGUUUUUGCGCACAGUAUUCCUCCAUUUCAUGCCGAGCGCUUGCUCUGUUUACCACUGUUUACGGAGCGACUGAGGCUACUGUACUGUGUCCUUGCUCGCGAUCAGCUGUCUCAGUGCUGGUAUGAAGUAAAACUUAGUCUAGGGAAGAUUGUUGCUGCUGCACUUGGCUGUAUAUGUAAAGUUUUUAUAAUUCUUGGCCAACUUAUGUGCCAAGCGGAGCAUACACUGCAUGCUAAGAAGAUGAACAGGGAAAUGAACACUGGAGAAAAGCUGCACCUCAAAAUACAAACAGAGCAGUCUCUCACAUUCCACAUGGAGAGUGUUUGUUUGUGCGGUG